AGAGUGUGGAAAACCGCUCAGUCUUCGAGCUGCCAGCAAGCAGGACGCACACGCAACAACAACGGUGGUGCUGUUUGGAUUUGUUCGUUGUUGGUUGGGGGGCCCAACCGUCGACACUUACAUUGGGACAAACCAUCCCCCCCUCCCCACCACCCUUUCCCCCAGCCCCGCUAUCACAUUCAGUGGGUGGGAACAGCCACCGGUCAACUGCUGCUGGAGUGCCGUUGCGGUUUAGUGGUGUGCCGCGGUCGAAAAAAAAGGGUAAUGGUGGUGACGCACAAUGAGCAAAAGUGUAGUGUAGUGCAGUGAAUAGAUAACCUCCGCCAUUGAGAAGGCUCAACAUGUGGAAUAUACCAGAAAAGCAUAAGAUAAACAUGUGAAAUAUUAGGUGUGUACAAAAAGAGAAAAAAAACAGGUGAAGAAGUGUAAAAAUAUAAUCUAGUUAUUGCUAUGAAGUGUUAUAAAAUGAAGAAUACAAGAUAUAAAUAUAAAUAUAAAUAUACUCGCUGUGUAGAAUAUUUACAGAAAUAUAAUAGUGUUGUAGUGUUGUUACCUCAAAAAUAAUAAUAAAAUAAAAUAAAAUAAUAGUAUUAAAAAUAAGUGAACGAAGAAGCUACCCUUGCUAAGUGUGACCAUUCCUAAAGUAUAAGUAUGUGCUCGCGGUUCUGAAACGUUUGCGUGUGUGCGAGCGAAACGAGCGUAACAACUCUGAAGUGUUAAAAAAGAGCCCGCGUCACGUUGCGUUAACUUGACAGCUAUCGCACAGCGGGCACGUAUUAUUCGCGCGUUCGCCGCGUUCCGGCGUUGUCAAAAAGUGCUCCAGCUGGCAGCUGUGGUACGCGCGUCCAGUGCAAUGCGAUCCCGUUUUCUUGUGCGGGUAGCAAAACAAAAAGAAAAAAAAAGUUCAUUUGUGAUCGUAAAUAUACACGCUACUGUGGCACGGUGUUUCUAUGAAAAAAAUGGCGUGUAACGUUUGUGAGUUAAACAAGAAAGAGGGUGUACUGUGUCUGUGUGCUUCUCGGUGUUAGUAGGUGUGCUAGUUUUGACGUAUUAUUAGUGGAAACUAACCUUAAAAAGCUAACCACCACACACAAACACGCGCGAGUGAUAUCGAAAGAAACGCAACGAUCGAUGUGAUCGUAGCCGGAAAUGAGCCUGCCAGUUGGUGGCUGAAAUCGGUGGAAUGUUUCGAGCCGCCACGCAGCCAAUGCCCCAGCGUUUCGAGGGGAAAAUCUGUCGCGAUAUGAAUUUCCGAUUAGCAUAAAUUUCCACUGAUGCCGUUUUCAAAACGUGUGAACGUCAAAGGUAAUAAUGAAUUAAUUGUAUUUGUACGAUGGCUUAGUUUACUUCCCCUCUUUCGGUUAGCAUACAAAUGUUUCCUAAUUAUUAGUCAAUACACCGCCCUUUGAUCCCAUGAUUUGCCUAGCUACGUAACCACGUAGAUGGCGCUACUGUAAAAUGUGGAGUUGUUGAUUCAUCGUCUCGAGAUGGCGCUGCUGUUGGUUUUACGGCGUAAUUCAAGUGUACAGCAGAUUGCCUAUAUUUUGGCGCAAUUCAAUCCUAAACAACCUCAAAAACUUAAACUGACUACCAAUCUCCAAUGUCCUAUUAAGCGAAAUUCGUUGUCAUGGUUGCAUACAUGUAGGCGUUUUAAUACAAUUAUUUUUAAACGUGUAUUUCACCUUAUAUCUUUAAUUAUAUAAAUUUAUUUAUUUUUAUUUAAUACACAUUCUUACUCUUUAAUACAUUUCAUCUGUGUAAGUACUUCGCUCUUUCUUAUCCCGCCCAAUCCAGUGCCUAGCCACACUCUCAGAUUCUUUCAUCUUAAAAUGGCUAAUAAUAAUCAUAAAUAAUUUCUGAACGCUCUUCUUUUAGAAGCUUUACUUUUGAACCAUGUUUUCCUUUGAUCCCAAAAUCGCCACCAUCUGGUAGUCUGUUUAUGCUCAUUUAUUGAGCGGCUUUGUCAUCCCUGCAAAUGACCUUGUGCCGUUGCGCGUCAAACCUCCUGCGUAAACACGGGACGCGGGUAGUCGUACAACGCAUGCUUUGCGCAUGGUUAACAACGUACUUAGCACUACGGCAACUACGAUUACCGCUAGCAUCACACAAAGCACCAUCCCACAUACCGCGGGAGGGAGGUUUUUUUACCAUUUUUUGUCUGCCGAAACACUGCCGGAAACCAUAUGGCCCACCCGCGGAUCGGCUUCGCUUUACCGCUCGUUAGAGGCGAGUCAUUUAUUUACAAACAAUUUG